AGACUGAAGAAUCUCUACGGGUAAGUGUGUGAUUUUUUUCAGCGACAUCACAUUUGCCUGCAGAGAUUUUUCAGUCU
rfam:Neotoma lepida isolate 417 scaffold_20628, whole genome shotgun sequence.